ACGAACGCUGGCGGCGUGCCUAAUACCUGCAAGUAGAACGCUGAAGGAGGAGCUUGCUUCUCUGGAUGAGUUGCGAACGGGUGAGUAACGCGUAGGUAACCUGCCUGGUAGCGGGGGAUAACUAUUGGAAACGAUAGCUAAUACCGCAUAAGAGUAGAUGUUGCAUGACAUUUGCUUAAAAGGUGCAAUUGCAUCACUACCAGAUGGACCUGCGUUGUAUUAGCUAGUUGGUGAGGUAACGGCUCACCAAGGCAACGAUACAUAGCCGACCUGAGAGGGUGAUCGGCCACACUGGGACUGAGACACGGCCCAGACUCCUACGGGAGGCAGCAGCAGGGAAUCUUCGGCAAUGGACGGAAGUCUGACCGAGCAACGCCGCGUGAGUGAAGAAGGGUUUCGGAUCGUAAAGCUCUGUUGUAAGAGAAGAACGAGUGUGAGAGUGGAAAGUUCACACUGUGACGGUAUCUUACCAGAAAGGGACGGCUAACUACGUG
rnacentral:rRNA from 1 species